AAACCCAGCAAUGGGCAAAGAGACACCUCGUUGGUGAUGUCUUGCUCUUAGAUUAGUCAAGGGCAGAGCAGAUGGCAGUCCUUGUUCAUCCUAGCUUGAUGCCUGGCUUGGUGGCUAAGGCUGUCUUAUGCCUAGGAGUCAUAA
rfam:Mus musculus chromosome 9, GRC primary reference assembly.